rnacentral:rRNA from 1 species
AGUCGAGCGAACAGACGAGGAGCUUGCUCCUCUGACGUUAGCGGCGGACGGGUGAGUAACACGUGGAUAACCUACCUAUAAGACUGGGAUAACUUCGGGAAACCGGAGCUAAUACCGGAUAAUAUAUUGAACCGCAUGGUUCAAUAGUGAAAGACGGUUUUGCUGUCACUUAUAGAUGGAUCCGCGCCGCAUUAGCUAGUUGGUAAGGUAACGGCUUACCAAGGCAACGAUGCGUAGCCGACCUGAGAGGGUGAUCGGCCACACUGGAACUGAGACACGGUCCAGACUCCUACGGGAGGCAGCAGUAGGGAAUCUUCCGCAAUGGGCGAAAGCCUGACGGAGCAACGCCGCGUGAGUGAUGAAGGUCUUCGGAUCGUAAAACUCUGUUAUUAGGGAAGAACAAAUGUGUAAGUAACUAUGCACGUCUUGACGGUACCUAAUCAGAAAGCCACGGCUAACUACGUGCCAGCAGCCGCGGUAAUACGUAGGUGGCAAGCGUUAUCCGGAAUUAUUGGGCGUAAAGCGCGCGUAGGCGGUUUUUUAAGUCUGAUGUGAAAGCCCACGGCUCAACCGUGGAGGGUCAUUGGAAACUGGAAAACUUGAGUGCAGAAGAGGAAAGUGGAAUUCCAUGUGUAGCGGUGAAAUGCGCAGAGAUAUGGAGGAACACCAGUGGCGAAGGCGACUUUCUGGU